GUUUCUGUUUCUGUUUCUGUUUCCAGUUUUAUUGAGGUCCACACUAGUAUUUUUUUGCCAAUUUUUAAGAUUAGUAUUAGCACAUAAUUUCACUGGCAGAGACACCAUAAAAAUUUGGUUUUGGGGUCAGAACAUUCAAAUUCUAUUUAGAUUAAGAUGAGAGAAUGUUGAAUUGAGGGUUCUAAUAAUUUAACUAAAUUGAAAUUAUAAAUUUUAUGAAAAGAGACAAUCUUUUAUUAUUAUUAUUAUU
rnacentral:misc_RNA from 1 species